UACGAAGGGGGCUAGCGUUGCUCGGAAUUACUGGGCGUAAAGCGCACGUAGGCGGCUUUCUAAGUCGGGGGUGAAAUCCUGGAGCUCAACUCCAGAACUGCCUUCGAUACUGGAAAGCUCGAGUCCGGGAGAGGUGAGUGGAACUGCGAGUGUAAGAGGUGAAUUCGUAGAUAUCGCAAGAACACCAGUGGCGAAGGCGGCUCACUGGCCCGGUACUGACGCUGAGGUGACGAAAGGCGUGGGGAGCAAACAGG
rnacentral:rRNA from 1 species